GGGGAAUUUUGGACAAUGGGCGAAAGCCUGAUCCAGCAAUGCCGCGUGCAGGAUGAAGGCCCUCGGGUUGUAAACUGCUUUUGUACGGAACGAAAAGCCUGGGGCUAAUACCCCCGGGUCAUGACGGUACCGUAAGAAUAAGCACCGGCUAACUACGUGCCAGCAGCCGCGGUAAUACGUAGGGUGCAAGCGUUAAUCGGAAUUACUGGGCGUAAAGCGUGCGCAGGCGGUUUUGUAAGACAGUGGUGAAAUCCCCGGGCUCAACCUGGGAACUGCCAUUGUGACUGCAAAGCUAGAGUGCGGCAGAGGGGGAUGGAAUUCCGCGUGUAGCAGUGAAAUGCGUAGAUAUGCGGAGGAACACCGAUGGCGAAGGCAAUCCCCUGGGCCUGCACUGACGCUCAUGCACGAAAGCGUGGGGAGCAAAC
rnacentral:rRNA from 1 species